UACAAACAAGCUACCAUAUAACAAAAAUCUUUGGUAUUCCUGCUAAUUCUAUCACUAGCUGCUUUUUAGAAAAGAUAUACUAUUAACGCGUUGAUAGUGUUUACUGUCCCAGUCAAAACUCACUCAAAGCGUAUAGUGAUGUUUUCUGGUGGUGUUUUUUAUUUAAUUACGGCGUUUGCAAAAUAACGUGCAUAUAAAACAAAAAGAACAGUCUGCAUGUUAUUUUGCAAACAAAUGUUAUACCAUGCACAAAACUCUGACAAUACAGAGUCUAAUCUCUAUAAUUUAAAAAAAACUCUUACCAAGUGCGUUUUCGCAUGUUUUAUUUACUAAAAAAUUUCGAAAAUAACUUUUUUCCGUAUUUCUGGUCAAAACCAUCAUCUACUACAUACAGCAAAUGAUCUAACUGGAAAAUGAUUAAUGCUCGCACAAAUCAUGAAUUUGUCAGAAACAAGAAAGUUAAUUUGUUUUCAUUUUUUUUCAAUUUAAAUGGAAAGUCUUUUCUUUUGAUCGUUAUUUUGAACACGUCAGUUAAUUGUAUCAAAAAAAACGCUAGGGAGUUUCUAUGUGAAAUUUAGUCAAAUUUCAUCAGAAAUGAUGUUUUAUUUAUUUGUUUAUAAUUUUGUAUCAGUGACAUCAGCUUUAGAAUUUAUCGAGGUUUAAAUUCAAAUGUCCUGUUACAAAUGUGGUUGGAAUUAGACUGGAACCAUUGGUCCGAUGGUAACACUGUCUGACUGUUAAACCAGGGUUCAUGAGUUCCAGCCCCCGCUCCUCCAACUAAAAUUUACUAACAUUGUGAUAAGAGUCUUUACACUUGGCUGGCUAAAGAGCCCUGGAAGUUUUUGUCUGAAAUGGGAGUGUCUUCUAUAUCUUGAACUGUCAUUCACUACAAUUUCUUUUUUUUUUAUAAUUUAUUUUUUCUCUUUUAUGACAUACAUCAUACAAACACGUUACACUUGUUUUGUACAAUUCUGCAGACCUACUAAAUAAUUACUGGUUCUCCGCGUUACAUCGUAUAGCGGAGAACCUUUGUCUAACUGUAACGGAUUACAUAAACCGGUCUUUACGGUUUGAUACGCAUUCAAGCAUACAUGUGCAUUCAUGUAUGGGUAUUUAUACGAGAGGCGUUGUAUAGAAAUCAGUUCUAGCGAGUUUCUCUUACGAGAACAUCUGCAUUCAACUGUUCUACGUUUACACAUGGAAGAAAAUAUGGAGGGAAACCCACCGAGAGGUAGAGAGGAAAAUAUAGAGUGGGAUAGAAUAGUAGAAGAUAAAGUCAGGACGUCACUGGAAGGCCACAAAGAGGUGAUGCUGAAGGAAAUUGGAAGCCUAUUUGAAAAGAUAAGUGGUCAUUCUACAAAUAAAAUUUCAAAUAUGAUGAUAAACAGUGAAAAAUUUAAACGCAAAAGCAAUGAGGAGCAAUAUAAGCACAAUUCUAAGGUCAUACUGAAAUUAGACGAGGCUAAUCAUGAUUUACAAGAGAAGAAAUUGGAGGAAUGUAGAGCGAAUAUAGCAGAAGGUAAUUUAUAAUUAUCCGUUAAAUUUAGCAAAAUUGUGGAAUUUUUAUAGAAAUGAUUAGUACACGUAUGAAAUACAUCGAUAUCCGCCCCUGGAAGGCAGGUAUGUAAAAUUUAGUAUUUCGCACGCACGAGUGCGUUUUAGAGAAAAAUGAAAAAUUUUAUCGAUAAAAUUGCCAAGUAUUGUCUGUAUAACUCGAGGUAUAUAUUAGAUAUUAAUUGUAACGAAUAAACUGAACGAAAAAUGAAUUAUUGAAUAAAUUAAUUAUUGAAACGAAAGAAUAAUUUAAAGAAUAGAAAAGCAAAUGUAAAAUAAAGAAGUAUGUGUAAUCUAUGACUCCGACAGUUGUGGCUGAAAAAUUUUAAAUAUAAUAAAUCUGUUAAAGGGCAAAAAGUAGAAUAAUUUCAAAUAUAAAGUACCAUGAUUAUUGAUUAUAUUGUAGAAUAGACUAGUUUAUUAUGCGGAGCAUACAUAUACAUUAGAAAAUUACGCUGUUUUUCAGCUAAAGAGUUAAUGACUCACAGACAAAAACUGAUUAAACUGGCGGACUCAGCCGAGUUGGGAUGGAGAGUAGUUCAAGAGUAUGAGGCAAAUCCAUUGGCGAGUGACUCGGACGAUGAGAAACGAAUCUUUAAAGCGGAAGCAAGGGCUUCCAAGAAGUAUAAAGCGGAAAAAACUGGCCAUACCGUAGACAGCAGCGGGUUAUGACAGAGGCGUGUCCGGUUAAUACACAACAGUCAGCACGACAGGGGCGUAGACCAGGGUUGUGUUUUGCAUGUGGCAAACCAGGGCAUUGGAGAGGGGCACCUGAAUGCCCGGAAAGAAAUACAAAUAAUAAGAUAAGUAAUGUUUUAUGUACAUGUAUAAAGAAAGAAAAAAGUUGUAAUUGUUCUGUAGAAAAAUCUUUCUCAAAAAGUCAAGGUAAUGUAUUACAUUUACCAGAAAAUGCUGAUGAGCACACCGAAAUUAAGCAGUCAGAAACCGAAGAAGCACAACAAAGAGUUGUGUCACCAGUAGGUAGGUUACGACAUUGUUCGAAUAAAUGGAGAGAGGCAUCGGAUAGUGCCUACAUUAUGGAUGUAGUUGAAAAAGGUUACAAAUUACCCUUGAAAGAAAUUCCACCUAGUGUAGUGCUAAAAAACAACAAAUCAGCACGUGACAAUACGCGUUUUGUAGAAGAAGAAUUAAGUUGUCUUUUAGAUAAGAAAGUUGUAUCUAAAUCUAGCGUUGUACCACACGUAGUGAACCCUUUAACAGUUGCAUAUAGUAAAACGGGAAAACCUAGACUAGUACUUGACUGUAGACACAUAAACAGGUAUUUACAUAAAUUUAGAGUAAAAUUUGAAGAUAUCAAGGUCGCAGAAAAAAUGUUUGAUGAAAAUUCAUUUCUGUUUACAUUUGAUUUGAAAGGAGCAUAUCAUCACAUUGAUAUCUUUCCAGAACACCGCACUUACUUAGGCUUUUCAUGGUUAAGUGAAGGUGAUACACAUUUUUAUGUUUUUAAUUCUUUGCCUUUUGGAAUAAAUACCGCAGGACAUAUUUUUACCAAAAUGUUAAGGGUUGUAGUGUCAUUCUUGAGAAGUAAAAGUCAUCGAAUAAUCAUGUUCUUAGAUGACGGGAUAGGGGGACAUGUUGAAUAUGUUCUAGCAGAAAGAUCGAGUGUUUACGUAAGAAAAACGCUCUGCGAAUUCGGUUUUCUAUUAGCAGACGAAAAAUGUAAUUGGCAGCCGACAUCUAGAGUCGUUUGGUUAGGACACGUGAUUGACAUGUCAAAAAACCUAUUGUUCAUAACAGAUUCAAGAAUCGAUAAUCUUGAAGUAUCGAUAGAUUCUGUUUUGUAUCAGAUAAGAAUGGACAAAUGUAAUAUUAUAAACGUAAAAGCUUUGGCAUCUGUUGUGGGAAAAAUUAUAUCUCUUCAAAAUGUAAUAGGCAAUAAAGUUAGAAUGAGAACAAGAGAAAUGUAUAGAUGCAUACUAUCUAGAGCAAGUUGGAACGCUCCAGUACUGGUAAGUGAACAGGCAAUCGCAGAAUUAAAAUUCUGGCGAGAAAACGUGAGAAAAAUUAACCACAAAGGGAAAUAUUUCAAAAACAUGUCAGUUUGCGCAGUAAGUAUCUAUGCUGAUGCCAGUGCGGAAGGCUAUGGCGGUUUUAUCAAGAAAAAAGAUGAUUGCUUAGGUUCUCAGGAAUACGACAGUAAGAAAGUAAGUGUAACAUGUAUGUGUAAGCAGUUCCCAGAGAGAACUGAGAAAACAGAACACGGUUUUGACAAAACGUUAAUACCAGUAACGAUAACGGAAAGAGUUCGGCUCCCGGAAGUGAGCAUAAAUUCCGAUUGUGUAUCGGAAGUAUGUAGAAAUCACGGUAGGGUCCCAGAAGUGACCAUUUAUUCUGACUGUAUAUCAGAAGUAGGUAGAAAAAGUAGUAGCAAGCUCCCGGAAGCGAGUUUUGAUUCUGAAUGUCUCCCGGAAGAGGGACAUGAAUGGUUCCCAGAAGGUGGAAAUAUUGAUAAAUUGCUCCCGGAAGAGAGCAAGUAUUUAAAAGGUUCCCCGGAAGCGAACAAAAAUAUUGUUACGGUAAGCAAAUCAGUGCAUAAAUGUUUUAAAAAUAGUAAUCAUAAUGCACCAAGGCAUGAAACAAGCGCGUACUGCGCCAACAGAUUUCAAAAGAUAGAAGGUAAUUCGUCAUUGAAAGUAAAACCCCCGGAUACGGGUUUUGAAUCUCAGGUUAACACUCGGGAGAGAAGUGAAAACGAUUCUGAAAAGAAUUCGUUUAGAACAAAUGGUAUUAUCAGCAAAGGUGGGAAGGGUACGCUACCAAAAGUUUCUAAAAUUAAGAUAGCAUUUCCGGAAACAGAAUCUCAGGUAAUUGGUAAGUGGGACACUUUUGAAAAGGUUCAAAGUUCCACUUGGAGAGAAACUGAAGCUGUUAGUAGAAUAAUUAAGAGCAAUGCACAUGUAUUAAAGAAUAAACUAGUGCACAUAUUUACAGAUAAUAAAAAUGUAAAAUCAAUCUUAUUAAAUGGGAGUAAAACUCCAAGUAUCCAAAGAACAGCCUUAGACUUAGCCAACUUUUGCGAAAACGAAAAUAUUUCAUUUCGUCCGGAAUGGAUUCCUAGAGUAGACAAUGAGCUUGCAGAUUAUUUGAGUAGAUGUACAGAUUGUGAUGAUUGGGAAAUACAUGACAGUGUAUUUUCACGUAUUGAUUGUUUAUGGGGACCGCAUACGAUUGAUCGUUUUGCGUCACACUUGAAUAAUAAGUGUUCUAGAUUCAACUCCCGUUGGUGGGUACCAGGAACUAAAGGCAUUGACUCUUUGAAUGAAGUCUGGAAAAAUGAAAAUAAUUGGCUUGUUCCACCAACAAGACUUAUAGUAGAUUGUAUAAAUAAGAUUAAUAGCGAGCAUGUAGAAUGUAGUUUGAUCAUACCAAAAUGGAAAAGUGCCCCUUUUUGGCCGCUUCUGUUAAAUGAAGAUGGAAAUUUCAAAUAUUUUAUAAAACAGACACUUAAUCUGUCAAGGUCAAAUGUUGUUGUCGGAAACGGUUACAAUGGUACAUUUGAUAACGAACCACUAAAGUUCGAUAUGAUAGCAUUAAAAAUUAUAUCUUGACUAAAACUAUAUAUAUAUAUAUACAUAUGUAUAUGUGUGUUUGGUUAGCUGAAACAAAAUGAUUUUAUGUACAUAAAUGUUUUCAGGUGUUGGCCUAAAAUCUACGCUGAAACGUAAAAUGCAGGAUGCGGGAGUUUGCAACAAUGAAAUGGACAAUAUUGCUAGUAAUAUGGCAAGUUAUUUAUUGCAAUCACGUGCAGGAAGUACAACAACAAAAUAUAAAAACUGUUUUACUUUAUUUGAAGAAUAUUGUAAAGUGAAUUCACUUACGGCACAACCCGCGAAACCAAUUAUUGUUGCUAUGUAUAUAGUGAACUUAUUAGAUCAAGGAAAGUCGUAUCACGUUAUUUCUUCGGCAUUUUAUGCAAUCAAAUGGGUACACAAACUAAAUGAACUGUUAGAUCCUACUGAAAGUAGUAUUGUUCAAAAUUUGUUAGAAACAGCGAAGAGGAUUCGUUCUACGCCAACUUCAAAGAAAGAUGUGGUUGAUACUGAAAUGUUAAAAACUUUAUGUUCUUUGUAUGAAAAUUCUGUAGACGUUGUAGAAUUGAGAGAUCUUUCAAUGAUUUUACUAGGGUAUGCAGGAUUUCUCAGGUUUAAUGAACUGAGCAAUUUAUUGUGUAAAGAUAUAGGAUUUAAGAUUGAUCAUCUUAAUGUCAAAAUACAAAAAAGCAAAACCGAUAUAUAUAGAUCUGGCAAAGAAGUAUUAAUUGCUAAAGGCUCUUCUGUAGCUUGUCCGUAUUUAAUGUUGCAAAGGUAUAUGACCGCAGCUCACUUGUCAGAAACUUCAGAUAAUUAUCUUUUUAAACCCGCUUUUAGAUCAAAAGGAAAAUCUUCACUCAUCAAACAAAAUAAAAAAUUAAGUUAUACAAGAGCAAAAGAAUGUAUUGUGAAAAAGCUUAAGGUAGUUGCUCCUAAUCUUAAGUUGGGAACUCAUUCCUUAAGGGCAAGUGGUGCUUCCAUGGCUGCAAAUGCAUCGGGCGUUUCCGACAGGUGUCUUAAACGCCAUGGUCGAUGGAAAUCAGAUCAGGCAAAAGAUGGUUACAUUGAAGACUCGUUAGAAAAGAGAUUGUUUAUAACCAAAACGUUAAAAAUGUAAUAAAAAUUGAAUUUGAAUGCAGCAUACAUUCUAAACUUUGUAUGUCUAUAAAAUCAUCUCGCUGAUUGCACAACAGUGUUGUUGGUUUAUCUAGUAGUUAAAGUAAGACUAAUAAAACAGAAAUAAUAUCUUUGAGAUACAUAAAACAAUUGCAAUUAUUUCCCCUUCAGUUUUGUUUAUAAAAUCGUUUUGUAUGUCAAAAAAGAUAAAUAAAUGUAUCCACUUUGCAUGAUAAGACGCUUAAAUUGAGAAGAAAGUUAACACUGUAUAAAAUAAAAGUAGAGAAAAAAAGUAUAGAGUAUACCCAUGUGCGCUCUUGAUUACCUUUGAAAUAGAUUAUUUCAAUUUUUUUUUUCAUUUUUUUUUAUGUGUCUCAGUGAUGUACGUGGUAAGGAUGCAUAUUAAAGAUUCAAGAAAGACCAUUUCUUUAAAUGAUAAUCAAUUUUGUUUUGCAUUAUUGGCAUUUUGUUUUUCUAGACAAAUUCUGAUAUUUAGAUAGGAUAAAAACUGAUUGAAUACGGGAACCUUUUGUCUACUUUUCAUUUGAAAAAUAAAAUAUUUCAUCAAAAAAAUCAUGAAAUUUAUGGUAUUGCUUUUUAACCCCGUUUGCACGGUGCCAAAAAUUAUACAUUCUAGAUUGAACAGGCACGAUAUUCCCUUUUCUGCAAGAAAAUUACUUAGUCUAUUCCACAAAAUUUGAACAUGAUGACAUUCCCAAAAUAGAUGUUCUAUACUUUCCACUUGCAUGUUACAAAAAUCACAUAAGUUUGUUCUAGACAAUUUCAUUUUUUUCUAAUUUUUGUGUCUAUCGUUGCUUUAAAAAUUUGUCCAUAAAUUUUAUUCCAUUUUAUGUUAUUGUUUUCAACAGUAGAUCCCCAUUUCUUUUCUGAUUUUAUUUCUGGUUUAAGUUUUACAUUUAAUUGUUUGGUAUAUAGUAAUUUCUUUGGUGCUUUUGCUGCUUGAAUUUUGUUAAGCAGGUUGUCUGUAGUGUUGUAAAUAAUGUUUUCUUUUUUAAGUGAUUCUUUUAGAUCCGGCUUAAUGCUGGUGAUAAUUUGAUAAUAUUUUAGGAAUUCAUUAUCUUCUAGACUGUAUAAAUACUUGAAUUGUUCAAAAGAGUAAAAAUCUUUUUUCCUGUAAUCAAAUAAGUGUUCUAAAUAUUUUAUUCCUUUUUCAUUCUUUGUAAUACAAUGUUUUAUUCCCAUUCCUUAUGUCAGAGUUGUUCCAGAUUAUCUGUUUUCCACUUAUGUCAUUUAAUUCAACCUUCUUAAUGGUAUGCCAUGCAAUAAGAACAUCUUUGAGAAAUGUGUUGUUUUUACAUAUGUUUUCAAUGUCUUUAUCAUUUAAAUUACAUUCAAAUACUAACUUUCCCCCUGCUGGUUUUAGAAUUGUAUUAUAGAAAGUACCCCAAAUUACACUUUCACUGUUACACAUAAAUCGUUUUAUCCAACAGGCUUUUAUCGAGUUCAAAAAACACUUAAUAUUUAUCAUUUUUAGUCCUCCUUUCUCGUAAUCAAGUUGUAGUACAUCUCUUUUGUUUUUUUCAGGUUUAUUGUUCCAUAUAAAAUUAUACAUUAUCUGUAUUAUUUCUUUAAUUUUUCUUCAGACGGACUUGGUAAAACUGUAAAGGGAUAUAUAAGCUUCGGUAACGCAAAGGCUUAUAUCACUGUAAUUUUUCCUAGUAAUGUUAGUUUUCUGUGUUCCCAUUGUUUCAAACAGUUUUUAAAGCUAUUUAAUUUUGGGUCUAGAUUAAGGUCUACAUUUUUAUUAAUAUUGUUCGAGAAUGUCAUACCAAGUGUUUUUGCCGAUUCAAAUGUCCAAUUAAAUUUUUUAUCAUUACACAGUUUCAUAUUUGUAUUUACUAAAGAUCCCGCUUUUAAAAUUGUUGAUUUGUUGAAGUUAAGUUUUAGUCCUGAUAUGUUUCCGAAAUUAGUGAUGGCAUCAAUAAGUUUUUCACUACAAUUUCUUAAAGUCCUCUAGAGGAGAAACCCAUAUGUGUUACAAGGUGGCAACUUUUAAUAGAUAUGCUUCAACGCAAACAAGCAAGGAUUGGAACUAUGAUGUCAUAAUGUGUACUAGAGCGAAAACAACAUAAAUUUUCAUUUAAACAUGCAGUGAAUGUUUGCAUACGGUCAUUACCCAAUGUUGGUCCAAUACUUCAAACAUUUGCAACUGUGACACCAUGUAUGUCGUUUUAAAAUCUGUUACACACUGUAAAACAAUUUGUAGUGGACAGCGAACUAAUCUCUUCUUUCGGAUGAUAUGCCGUGCAAGAAAAAAAUCAUCCAUCUCUGUAUAUGUGCCGAAUUUGCAGUCACUUUUCUUGGUUGCGUCAUAUGCUUGCAUGCAAACAAGCUUCUUGCUGGAUUGAUUGAUAUAUUCACCGUAUAU